rnacentral:rRNA from 1 species
GAUGAACGCUGGCGGCGUGCCUAAUACAUGCAAGUCGAGCGAACAGACGAGGAUCUUGCUCCUCUGCCGUUAGCGGCGGACGGGUGAGUAACACGUGGAUAACCUACCUAUAAGACUGGGAUAACUUCGGGAAACCGGAGCUAAUACCGGAUAAUAUAUUGAACCGCAUGGUUCAUUAGUGAAAGACGGUUUUGCUGUCACUUAUAGAUGGUUCCGCGCCGCAUUAGCUAGUUGGUACGGUAACGGCUUACCAAGGCGACGAUGCGUAGCUGACCUGAGAGGGUGAUCAGCCACACUGGAACUGAGACACGGUCCAGACUCCUACGGGAGGCAGCAGUAGGGAAUCUUCCGCAAUGGGCGAAAGCCUGACGGAGCAACGCCGCGUGAGUGAUGAAGGUCUUCGGAUCGUAAAACUCUGUUAUUAGGGAAGAACAAAUGUGUAAGUAACUAUGCACGUCUUGACGGUACCUAAUCAGAAAGCAACGGCUAACUACGUG